rnacentral:miRNA from 1 species
GCUGGGAGCUAGAGGAUGUGGUCAGCUGCAAGACCCCUCCUCAGACAUCUGCUCUGCUCCUAGGAAUUGUUGACUAC